rnacentral:rRNA from 1 species
UACGAAGGGGGCUAGCGUUGCUCGGAUUGACUGGGCGUAAAGGGCGCGUAGGCGGUUCGUACAGUCAGACGUGAAAUUCCUGGGCUCAACCUGGGGGCUGCGUUUGAUACGUGCGGACUUGAGUGCGGAAGAGGGUCGUGGAAUUCCCAGUGUAGAGGUGAAAUUCGUAGAUAUUGGGAAGAACACCGGUGGCGAAGGCGGCGACCUGGUCCGAUACUGACGCUGAGGCGCGAAAGCAUGGGGAGCGAACAGG